GCAGGAGCUGGCGACUCCAAGUGAACUCCAUUUCCCAGGGUACGCUGCGCUAAACGCGCAGCCGCGUUAAAGAGCCGACUCUGGGAGCGACAGGCAGACGCAGGAAGGCCCUCACCCUCUGGGCCGGAAUGGAGCACCCAAGGGGGGUUGAUUGGACAGUCAUUAUCCUGACGUGCCAGUACAAGGACAGUGUCCAGGUCUUUCAGAGAGAGCUGGAGAUCCGGCAGAAGCGGGAGCAGAUCCCUGCUGGGACACUGUUACUGGCCGUGGAGGACCCUCAGACUCGGGUAGGCAGUGGAGGAGCCACCCUCAACGCACUGCUGGUGGCUGCGGAACACCUGAGCGCCCGUGCAGGCUUCACCGUGGUCACGUCUGAUGUCCUGCACUCAGCCUGGAUCCUCAUCUUGCACAUGGGCCGAGACUUCCCCUUUGAUGACUGUGGCAGGGCCUUCACUUGCCUCCCUGUGGAGAAUCCACAGGCACCUGUGGAGGCCUUGGUCUGCAACCUGGACUGCCUGUUGGAUAUCAUGACCCACCGGCUGGGCCCAGGUUCCCCACCAGGCGUGUGGGUCUGCAGCACCGACAUGCUUCUGUCCGUUCCUCCAAACCCCGGGAUCAACUGGGAUGGCUUCCGGGGAACCAGAGUGAUUGCCUUUCCUGGGAGCCUGACCUACGCUCUCAACCACGGUGUCUACCUUACCGACUCGCAGGGCUUUGUUUUGGACAUUUUCUACCAGGGCACUAAGGCGGAGCUACAGCGGUGUGUCAGGCCUGACGGGCUGGUACCCCUGGUCUCUGGGGUUGUCUUCUUCUCUGUGGAGACGGCUGAACACCUCCUGGCUACCCACGUGAGCCCGCCUCUGGAUGCCUGCACCUAUAUGGGCUUGGACUCUGGAGCCCAGCCUGUGCAGCUGUCUCUGUUUUUCGACAUCCUGCUCUGCAUGGCUCAAAAUGUGAACAGGGAGAACUUCCUGGCUGGGCGGCCCCCAGAGAUGGGGCAAGGUGACACAGACGUAGCAGGUUCUCUGAAGGGAGCCCGAGCCCAGCUGUGGAGGGAACUUCGCGAUCAGCCCCUCACGAUGGUGUAUAUCCCUGAUGGGGGCUACAGCUAUAUGACUGCUGACGCCAGUGAGUUCCUGCACAGCCUCACAAUGCCGGGGGUUGCUGUGGCCCAGAUCAUCCACUCCCAGGUGGAGAAGCCCGAGCUGCUAGAGGCCUCCUGCUCUGUGGUCAGCUGUCUGCUGGAGGGGCCCGUCCGCCUGGGGCCUCGGAGCGUCCUGCAGCACUGCCACCUGAGGGGCCCCGUUCAUGUUGGCGCUGGCUGCUUUGUGAGUGGCCUGGAUACUGCCCACUCCGAGGCACUGCAUGGCCUGGAGCUCCAUGACCUCAUCCUGCAGGGACACCACGUGCGGCUGCAUGGCUCUCUGAGCCGAGUCUUUACUCUUGUUGGCCGUCUGGACAGCUGGGAAAGACAGGGGGCAGGCAUGUAUCUCAACAUGUCCUGGACUGAGUUCUUCAAGAAGACAGGCAUCCGAGACUGGGACCUGUGGGACCCAGACACGCCCCCCUCAGAUCGAGGCCUUCUCAGUGCUCGCCUCUUCCCUGUGCUCCACCCCACGAGGGCCCUGGGGCCCCAGGACGUGCUGUGGAUGCUGUAUCCCCAGGAGGACAGAGGUGAAGCCCUGCGAGCCUGGCGAGCCUCUUGGCGCCUGUCCUGGGAGCAGCUGCAGCCUUGCCUGGACCGGGCUGCCACACUGGCCUCCCGUCGGGAUCUGUUCUUCUGCCAGGCCUUGCAGAAGGCACGGCAUGUGCUAGAGGCUCGGCAGGACCUCUGCCUGCGUCCAUUGAUCCGGGCUGCUGUUGGCGAAGGUUGCUCUGGACCCCUGCUGGCCACACUGGACAAGGUCGCAGCUGAAGCGGAAGACCCUGGUGUGGCAGCCCGGGCUCUGGCUUGUGUGGCCGAUGUCCUGGGCUGCAUGGCAGAGGGCCGAGGAGGUUUGCGCAGUGGACCGGCUGCCAACCCAGAGUGGAUUCAGCCUUUCUCGUACUUGGAAUGUGGAGACCUGGUGAGGGGUGUGGAGGCCCUUGCCCAGGAAAGAGAAAAGUGGCUGAGCAGGCCUGCCUUGCUGGUUCGAGCUGCCCGCCAUUAUGAGGGGGCUGAGCAGAUCCUGAUCCGCCAGGCUGUCAUGACAGCCCAGCACUUUGUAUCCACCCAGCCAGUGGAGCUGCCAGCACCUGGGCAGUGGGUGGUGGCUGAGUGCCCCGCCCGUGUGGAUUUCUCUGGUGGAUGGAGUGACACACCACCCAUUGCCUAUGAGCUUGGCGGAGCAGUGUUGGGCCUGGCUGUGCGGGUGGAUGGCCACCGGCCCAUCGGGGCCAAGGCUCGUCGUAUCUUGGAGCCUGAACUGUGGCUGGCAGCAGGGCCUCAACAGAAUGAGAUGACCAUGAAGAUAGUGUGCCGGAGCCUGAAUGACCUGCAGGAUUACUGCCAGCCUCACGCCCCAGGGGCCCUGCUGAAGGCAGCCUUUAUAUGUGCUGGUAUUGUGCAUGUCCACUCAGACGUCCCUCUGUGUGAACAGCUGUCACACUCCUUUAAUGGUGGCUUUGAGCUGCACACCUGGUCAGAGCUGCCCCAUGGCUCCGGUCUUGGCACCAGCAGCAUCCUGGCAGGGGCUGCCCUGGCUGCCUUGCAGCGGGCUGCAGGCCAGGCAGUGGGCACAGAGGCCUUGAUCCAUGCAGUAUUGCACCUGGAGCAGGUGCUCACCACAGGAGGUGGCUGGCAAGACCAAGUGAGUGGUCUAAUGCCUGGCAUCAAGGUGGGGCGCUCUAGGGCCCAACUGCCCCUAAAGGUGGAGGUGGAGGAAAUCAUUGUGCCUGAGGGUUUUGUCCAGAAGAUCAAUGACCACCUGCUCCUGGUGUAUACUGGCAAGACCCGACUGGCACGGAAUCUGCUGCAGGAUGUGUUAAGGAACUGGUAUGCUCGGGUGCCUGCUGUGGUGCAGAAUGCCCGCAGACUGGUGCGACAGACUGAGAAAUGUGCCGACGCUUUCCGUCAAGGUAACUUGCCUCUGUUGGGCCAGUACCUGACCUCAUAUUGGGAACAGAAGAAGCUUAUGGCCCCAGGCUGUGAGCCUCUGGCUGUGCAGCGAAUGAUGGAUGUCCUGGCCCCUCAUGUAUAUGGCCAAAGCCUGGCAGGGGCAGGCGGUGGGGGCUUUCUCUAUCUGUUGACCAAGGAACCACGGCAGAAAGAGACUCUAGAAGCUGUGCUGGCCAAAGCUGAGGCCUGGCCCUAUGAUGAAACAACUAGAAUCCAAUGGUCCUCAGAACUGGGAGCAAAGGCUGAAGAGAUGGCUCAGCAGUAUGUUACAAACUGGCUGCUACCCUGUACAGACGCUUUCAUCCUUUCGGGCUUCUCUGUCCCUGUUACCAUACGAUGGCUUUCAGUUAUUAUCACUGAACAUCAUCAAAGAGGGGACAGUAGAGCCCAGUGAAAAGCAGUGCCACGUUGGAGCUGAAGAAGACACUCUGAGUCAAGUCAGUACUGGAAUUUCUGUUCUACUUAAGAGGGCCUGAAGAGGACACCAGACCUCAUUACAGAUGGAUGUGAGUCACCACGUGGUUGCUGGGAAUUGAACUUGGGACCUUUGGAAGAGCAGGCGAUGCUCUUAACCACUGAGCCAUCUCUCCAGCCCUGGAAAAUAUGUCUUUAUAACUACUGCUUUUAUUUAAACCACAUGCUUUUCUUUUGGGUCUGAGGGUAAUGACACAUUCAACAUACUUUAGCGAUUUAGGUUAAGUAAAGAAGUUAGGUACUUAAGGCUGAUGGACAGUUGGUCCAAGCUAAGGAUAUUAUAUUAGGAACAGUAGCUUCCUUUUUUUUUUUUUUUGAGGCAGAGUUUCUCUGAGUCCUGGCUAUCCUGGAACUUGUUCUGUAGACCAGGCUGGCCUCAAACUUAGAGUUCCAUCUGCCUCUGCCUCCCAAGAGCUGGGAUUAAAGGCAUGUGCCAUCAUACCCAGCUAGCUUAAUCUUGUUUGGGACUGAAUUUGACCCAUAAUGAAAAAAGAAAAGAAGCAGUUGAGACCGAGGAAUCAAGAUACACCUAGAAUUUUUAUGCCUCAAAAGUAAAAAGGGAGUCAAGAGUACCUGAAGUCAGCUUCCAGCUCUCUGGUGGCAAGGUUGAUCAUGGCACAGAGACAGUCGAUGUUAGAGCUGGACAGCGCUCGCCCAAUGCACUUUUUAACAAUGUAGAAGACAUCAUCCACCAUGCUGGAUGUCAACUGACCCUUUUCAUAGGUAUCCAGAGCCACAGCCUAACAAAAGGCAAAGCCCUCAGUGAGUAUCCCAGUUCUGAAUGUUCUAGAUAGUUCUCUUUAUACUAGCCCAGUCUCUGCACCCUUUUCCGUACUUUAACAAAAUAACAACAUAAAACCACCUUACUUCCUAAUGAUCACUACAUUAGAAAACUGAGUAUUUGGGGCCUCUGCCUUGGUGAUAUCCAAUAUCUUGAUGUCAAUAUACAUGCAGGGAUGCAGGGAACAAGGCACUAUAGGGAGCUGAGCUGUUCUCUUGUUAUCUUUGGGAAAGACCCAGCUGGAAACAUGAAGAAUAUGACAACUCCGGAGAUGUCCUCUUACAUACAGCAGUGCUACCCAGUAUGCAUUAGAAAGUACUCUCGAAGCAGGACCAAGAAAUAUGACAGGUCUCAGCCAUUUCAUUCAGCCUGGCUUCUUAGACAGGAAGCUCCACUUGCAAGAGAUGUAUCCUAAUGUCCUACCUUAUUGACAGUCUCCCUCAUGAAGUACUCCUCCAUGGUAAUAUAGAAGCCAAUUAGCUCCUGCAUGGUACAGCUCAAUAGGCAGUUAUUGAGGAGUUUGUCCAGGCACUUCUGGUGCUCUAGGGGACAGUCAAGAAAGGAAUAUUCACUUUUUCCCCCCAAGGGAAACAACGUUUUUCAUUUUUCAAGUUCUCUUCUGGUUUUUGUUUCAAACAGGUUCGUAUUUUCCAUGAAUAAAGUCACUUCUCCCAUAGUAAACAAUUUUGUACAAAUAAUUUAAUUCUUUUUCAACAGUUCUCCAAGAUUGCACAGAAGUCAAAAGAUACAUGUUUCCAGGGCAAAGACCAAUAUAUAUUAGAUAUAAAGCACAUUAUCCUCUAUUAUCAGCACUGUCUAGCUGUUCAGGAGGUAUAUCUUUGAUGGUGGAAAUUUUAAAAUAUAUUUAUUAUUACUGUGUUUGUUGUGUGUGAAUAAUGUGUGAGAGUGUGGCCCAUGCAUGCUGUAGUGCUCUUGUGGAGUCAGAGGACAACCUUUAGGGAGACAGUUCUUUUUUUCUACCAUAAGUUCUAGGGACUGAACUCAAGUCAUGAGGCUUGUAUAGCAAGCACUUUCAUGGUCUGAGCCAUUUCGCCAGCCCAGGACAAGGUUUUUGUUUUUGUUUUUUGAGACAAGAAUUUCUCUGUGUAGUAGAUCUAGUUGUCCUGGAACUAGCUCUUGGAGACCAGGCUGGCCUUGAACUCACAGAGGUUCACCCGUCUCUGCCUCCCGAGUGCUAGGGACUAAAGGGAUGUGCCAACACUGCUCAGCAGGACAUGUUUUACAAUUAUGCUGUCCAAUAUAGUAGUCAAAAGUUAUGGUAUGGCUGGGGAAAUGGCCCAGUGGGUAAAGAGCUUGCUGUACAAGAAUUCAUAUAGCUAUGUUAAAAAGUCAGGAGAAAGCAUCACACAUGAUGGCACAUACACUCAAUUCCAGCACUUGGGGGCAGGGAAAUCUCUGUAAAUUUCAGGCCCACCUGGUCUACAUAGUGAGUACUAGGCCAACUAGGGUUACAUAGUGAGACCAGUCUCAAACCAAAACCAAAACCAAGUCAUGGAGUUGGCAGUCUGCUUGUAAUCCUAUCCUAGGAUACAGAAACAGGGAACCAGAGAGUAAACUGGCUAGCCAAAGUAGGGCUCAGCAAGAGACACCACUUUAAUAUGUAAGGUAGAGAGCAACUGAAGAUACUCAGUAUGAACUUUGGGCCUUCACACACAUGCAUGUGCACCCUCUACAUGCAUCCAUAGACAUGUGGGAAAAAAGUUAAGAUAGGACACCCCAUCCCCAUACCCCUUUAACGAAAUCUUGCUGUAUUACCUUAGGUAGACUCAACCUUGUGGUGGGACUUGUGUCUUAGCCAAGUGUUUGAGGGCUGGGCUGAUCUAAAGUUUUCUCUGAGGCUCUAAAGUGUGGAGAAGGAACAUAGCUCCUCUGAAACUGGCAACAUGCUUGGCAGAGCCAGUAAUAGCCUGAAGCCAGGGCUCCUGAGGCCCUGAUGUUUGAAACCUGGAAUAUGGUUGGUAGAGCCGGUAAUGGACUAGACCCUGGCCUUGGGGGAGCUGUGGCUUUGGAUCCUGAGAACUCAACUCUUCCCAUUUUAUGGGGCUAUAGCUAUCAGUUCUAAGGCUGCUGUGUGCUUGGUCUGUAAUGUCCUUAAGAUACUCCUGUGUUCCCCUAGUGCAACACUUUUUGAUUAGCUUUCCGCUGACUUCCUUCCAUUUCUCUCCUGGAAUAGUACACAAGACACUGUACUUCUUAAUAAACUUGCUUGGCAUAAGAUAAUUUUA